GACGAACGCUGGCGGCGUGCCUAAUACAUGCAAGUCGAACGCUUCCUACCGGUGCUUGCACUGGGAAAGAAGAGUGGCGGACGGGUGAGUAACACGUGGGUAACCUACCUACAAGCGGGGGAUAACAUUCGGAAACGGAUGCUAAUACCGCAUAGAUCUUUUUGUCUCCUGGCAGAAAGAAGAAAGACGGUUUCGGCUGUCACUUGUAGAUGGACCCGCGGCGCAUUAGCUAGUUGGUGAGGUAAUGGCUCACCAAGACGAUGAUGCGUAGCCGACCUGAGAGGGUGAUCGGCCACACUGGGACUGAGACACGGCCCAGACUCCUACGGGAGGCAGCAGUAGGGAAUCUUCCGCAAUGGACGAAAGUCUGACGGAGCAACGCCGCGUGAGUGAAGAAGGUUUUCGGAUCGUAAAGCUCUGUUGUUAGAGAAGAACAAGGAUGAGAGUAACUGCUCGUCCCUUGACGGUAUCUAACCAGAAAGCCAUGGCUAACUACGUGCCAGCCGCCGCCGUAA
rnacentral:rRNA from 1 species